GGUAGCAUGCCAGAGUGGUUAAUGGGUGGGACUUGAAUUUUCAUCACCAUCCCAUGGCUUCGGCCGCGCAGGUUCGAACCCUGCUGCUAUCG
rnacentral:tRNA from 1 species